AGCAGUCGCCCGGGAAUACAGAGGGUGCGAGCGUUAAUCGGAUUUACUGGGCGUAAAGCGUGCGUAGGCGGCUUCUUAAGUCGGAUGUGAAAUCCCUGAGCUUAACUUAGGAAUUGCAUUCGAUACUGGGAAGCUAGAGUAUGGGAGAGGAUGGUAGAAUUCCAGGUGUAGCGGUGAAAUGCGUAGAGAUCUGGAGGAAUACCGAUGGCGAAGGCAGCCAUCUGGCCUAAUACUGACGCUGAGGUACGAAAGCAUGGGGAGCAAACAGGAUUAGAUACCCCUGUAGUCCCUGUCUCUUAUACA
rnacentral:rRNA from 1 species